UUAAAAGAUUUUAUAUGGGCAAGAGCAAUACUGCCAAUAAGGAAAUUGUAAAUGAUGUAGCUUUCUACAUCAUUUACAAUUUCCUUAUUGGCAGUAUUGCUCUUGCCCAUAUAAAAUCUUUUA